rnacentral:misc_RNA from 1 species
AAGUCGUAACAAGGUUUCCGUAGGUGAACCUGCGGAAGGAUCAUUACUAGAGCAAAGGAUAGACAGCGCCCGCGGAGCUCGCUCCCGGGGCUACCCUACUCCGGUAGGGUUUAGAGUCGUCGGGCCUCUCAGAGAAGCUCGGUCCUGAACUCCACCCUUGAAUAAACUACCUUUGUUGCUUUGGCGGGCCGCCUCGUGCCAGCGGCUUUGGCUGUUGAGUGCCCGCCAGAGGACCACAACUCUUGUUUUUAGUGAUGUCUGAGUACUAUAUAAUAGUUAAAACUUUCAACAACGGAUCUCUUGGUUCUG